ncrna:Frankia sp. QA3 Transposase-2 RNA
GAAGCGGGAACCCGGCACGGCUCCGGCCGGCAAGACCGGAGGUGCCUCACCGCAAGGCGAGACGGCA